UGCGGGGCAGGUAAGUCGUUAACUUACCCCCGAGUUUGGCCCCCGUGACCGGGGUUCGAAUCCCCGCCCGGCUACCA
rnacentral:tRNA from 1 species